GACGAACGCUGGCGGCGUGCUUAACACAUGCAAGUCGAACGGAAAGGCCCUGCUUUUGUGGGGUGCUCGAGUGGCGAACGGGUGAGUAACACGUGAGUAACCUGCCCUUGACUUUGGGAUAACUUCAGGAAACUGGGGCUAAUACCGGAUAGGAGCUCCUGCUGCAUGGUGGGGGUUGGAAAGUUUCGGCGGUUGGGGAUGGACUCGCGGCUUAUCAGCUUGUUGGUGGGGUAGUGGCUUACCAAGGCUUUGACGGGUAGCCGGCCUGAGAGGGUGACCGGCCACAUUGGGACUGAGAUACGGCCCAGACUCCAACGGGAGGCAGCAGUGGGGAAUAUUGCACAAGGGGCGGAAGCCUGAUGCAGCAACGCCGCGUGCGGGAUGACGGCCUUCGGGUUGUAAACCGCUUUCGCCUGUGACGAAGCGUGAGUGACGGUAAUGGGUAAAGAAGCACCGGCUAACUACGUG
rnacentral:rRNA from 1 species